GGAAGGGCUGUGGCUCAGUGGCAAAGCCUCUGCCUUGCAUGCAGAGGGUCCCAGGUUCAAUCCCUGGUAUCUCCA